GAGGGUACAGCUCAGUGGUAGAGUGUGUGUUUAGCAUGUAUGAGGUUCUGGGUUCAAUCCCAGUACCGCCA
rnacentral:tRNA from 1 species